GAUACAGGAUGUGGAUUGUCAGGGAUCUGAGUCGACCCUAGCAGAAUGCUCCAAUGACGGCAUCGGAUAUCUCACUCCGAAUUUUUGUCAUGAGACUGGCUUUGAUGACGCUGGCGUUUUGUGUAAAGGACCCAACGACGGAGAGAUCAGACUGAUAGGCCACAACCAAUAUUUUGGUCGUGUUGAGAUAUUCUACGCUGGAGACUGGGGGAGAGUGUGCGAUAAUGGAUGGUCACUGAAUGACGCCAAAGUGGCCUGUAGACAGCUUGGCUUCAGUGGAGCGCUGCAGUACUAUACAGGUUGGACACCCAAGGGAACUUCCAGAUUUCUCCUAGAUAAUUUAAGCUGUGCUGGUACAGAGAGCCGACUAGAUGCCUGUUCGCAUGGAUGGAUAGGGUAUCCCAGUAUUGGAUUCUGCACGGCAACCUUCACCGCGGACGCUGGGG